rnacentral:rRNA from 1 species
UCAGAUUGAACGCUGGCGGCAGGCCUAACACAUGCAAGUCGAACGGUAACAGGAAGCAGCUUGCUGCUUCGCUGACGAGUGGCGGACGGGUGAGUAAUGUCUGGGAAACUGCCUGAUGGAGGGGGAUAACUACUGGAAACGGUAGCUAAUACCGCAUAACGUCGCAAGACCAAAGAGGGGGACCUUCGGGCCUCUUGCCAUCAGAUGUGCCCAGAUGGGAUUAGCUAGUAGGUGGGGUAACGGCUCACCUAGGCGACGAUCCCUAGCUGGUCUGAGAGGAUGACCAGCCACACUGGAACUGAGACACGGUCCAGACUCCUACGGGAGGCAGCAGUGGGGAAUAUUGCACAAUGGGCGCAAGCCUGAUGCAGCCAUGCCGCGUGUAUGAAGAAGGCCUUCGGGUUGUAAAGUACUUUCAGCGGGGAGGAAGGCGAUGCGGUUAAUAACCGCGUCGAUUGACGUUACCCGCAGAAGAAGCACCGGCUAACUCCGUGCCAGCA